rnacentral:lncRNA from 1 species
GGUCCAUUCACUGGUUGGGUUAAGGCUCUCACCACCCAGUCAUGUCUCCUCUGGACCUUCUUGCAUGUCUCACACCUGAGCUUUUGGGGGACACCUCACAUCAGAACUAUAACACAAGCAAAUGCUAAAUCAUUUGAAACAUAUGUGGAAUUAGUGAAUGAGUAACUAAUUGUGUCAAUGUAAAUUUACUCUGUAUAUCAAAAUGUGAUUAGUGUUUCCCGAACUUCAAUUACUUACAUAGUACCGUCAUGAAUUUUGUCACAUACUAUGCAUAACUUAUAAUAUUUUUAGCUCAUUUUCUGUCAAAUGUAUUUUCAAAGCAAACCUUAUAUUAUUUUCAUAAAUAGGAAACUGUCCUAGUUGGGAAAUAUCUCUUUAGAGAAUCACAAAGAACUUUUACUGGAAAAGAUUGACAGAUGAGUAUAUUAAUAUUAAGAACUUUUAUUUAUAAGAAUGCAAUGAAAAUAUUGCAAAGCUAAGCUACCAACUGCAACAAGACAACAUACAACAUAUAAUUAUUUACAAUCAAAAUGUGUUCAAAGGCCUAAAAAUCAGUAAGAAUAGCACAAAAGGCCAGUAGGAAAUGGACAAAACCCCCAAACAUUGUUCUUCUCUGAGCAUCAUUUCAAAGAAGAGAAAAACACACACACACUAUAUAUAUAUGUUUCUAGAAAUAUCCAAUAUCAUUAGUGAUCUGGGAAACACACCCCAAGAUCAAAUGAGGUACUAUUUUGGACAGUUAAAUCAUAAAGGCUGACAAUCCAGGGAGUGAGAGAAGGAUCUCACAUGUGCCGCUGGUAGGCGUUUGCAUUGGAGUCACCCUGCUGGAUUCUGGUUUGGCAUUAUCUUUGAGAGUGAGAGAUUGACAUACUCUGUGACCUGGAAGGUCACACGUGUCAUACACAUCAGAGACAUCCACUGGAGGACUGGGAGCCCCGCAGCUCAUGAUAACAAAAACCUGGAGACAAUCUAAGGGGUUUUCAAGGGGCAAGCAGAUACCUACAAUGUAGGGUGUUCAUGAAUAAACCUAAUGCAUCAGGCAAACCAAGUGAUCUUCGGAGACAUACAACUACACAGAUGACCCCAGUGAUGCGAUAGGAAGUGAAAAUCAUCUCCAAACAUUAUAGAAGCACAGUACCAUUUUUAUAAAGAUAAAAGCAACUGUGAUGAGAAAAAAUAUUCAGAAAAAAAAACAAAAAAAGGCAAUUAACUGGUGCAACCACUCUGAAAAGCAGUAUGGUAUUCCUCUGAAAACUUGGAAUGGAACCACCAUUGGAUCCAGUUAUUCUACUCCUCAGUUUAUACCCAAAGGAAUAAAUCAGCCUACUACAGGGACACAGCCACAUCAAUGUUUAUAGCAGAACAAUUCAUAAUAGCUAAACUGUGGAACCAACCUAGAUGCCUUUCAAUAGAUGAAUGAAUAAAGAAAAUGUGGUACAUAUUCAUAAUAGAAUAUUACUCAGUCUUAAAGAAGAACGAAAUUAUGGCAUUUGCCAGUAAACGAAUGGAACUGGAGGCUAUCAUGCUAAGUGAAAUAAGCCAGUUCCCCCAAACCAAAGGCAGAAUGUUAUCUUUGAAAUGCAGAUGCUAAAACAAUAAGAGUAGAGACUGGAUUAGACAAAGGGGAAUGAAGGGAAGGGAGGGGAGAUGGGAAUAAGAAAGACAGUGGAAUGAAUUAGACAUAACUCUCCCAUGUUUCACAUGAUCAGUGUAACUCUAUAUUAUUUGCAACCAGAGGAAUGAGAGAUUAUGAUCCAUGUAUGUAUAAUAUGUCAAAACCACUCUACUGUCAGAUAUAACUAGUAAGAAUAAAAAUAUGUGUGUGUGUGUGUAAACGUAUGAUGAAAGAAGCAAUUAAACUAUUUACACAGUAAGAGAAUGGUGAUCAUGUUAAGCAGAUUCAGAUAGAAGGAUGCCAAAUUUUUCUUUUAAAAAUGGACGUACUGUAUGAGUAGAUAUAGGUACUGUGAUUUUUUUUCCUUUUCAGAGGUAGGCAUUGAACCCAGGGCAUCACACUGCUAAACAUAUGCCCUACCACUGAGUUAUAUUCCAGGGCUUUCUGUGAAGAUAUUGGCUUUUGUUUUGCCUGGUGAAUGUGGCGAUCCUGAUUAAGGUACAAACUAACCAGCAAAAUAAAUAGAAAUAGGUUACACAAGGACCAGUGACAACUGUAUUGUGAAACAGAGAUCAUGAUUAAUCUGAUUCUGUGCAUCUGUGUUUCUUAAGAAAAAAAUAAACAUCUCACGUUAUAAAGAGAAAAUAUGCAUUGAAAGUCUAGAAAAAGAGGGCUGGGGUAGAGCGCUUGCCUAACAUGUGUGAGGCACUGGAUUCCAUCCUCAGCACCACAUAUAAAUAAAUAAGAAAAAGUUAUUGUGUCUGUCUACAAAUAAAAAAGAAUUUUUUUAAAAAAGUCUAGAAACAGGUUAAGAAUUUUAAAAGGAACCAGGUGCAGUGGC